UACGAAGGGGGCUAGCGUUGCUCGGAAUCACUGGGCGUAAAGCGCACGUAGGCGGAUUGCUAAGUCAGGGGUGAAAUCCUGGAGCUCAACUCCAGAACUGCCUUUGAUACUGGCAACCUUGAGUCCGAGAGAGGUGAGUGGAACUGCAAGUGUAGAGGUGAAAUUCGUAGAUAUUCGCAAGAACACCAGUGGCGAAGGCGGCUCACUGGCUCGAUACUGACGCUGAGGUGCGAAGGCGUGGGGAGCGAACGGG
rnacentral:rRNA from 1 species